AUAAAGCAAGGCACUGAAAAUGCCUAGAUGAGUGUACUGACUCCAUAAACA
rnacentral:tRNA from 1 species